AUGGAUUUCUCGAGUUGCCCGAACCUGGAGACCGUAAAGAUGCACCGUUGCUCCUUCUCAAUCAUAAGCUGUGACGGUCCCAUCAAGAUAUCUUCACAGUCUGUGAGGUAUCUUAGCAUCACGGACUAUAAUUUUCGCCGUUAUGACAAGCAGGAGGCUCUCAUUUCUGUCCCAAACCUCGUCUACCUAGAGCUGGGUAGUGGCCGUGGCAAGGUUCCUACGUUUGAGUGCACGCCGUUGUUGCUAGCAGCAUCUAUCAAGCUUGACGACAAGGAUGGUUCCUUCAUCCUUGAGCGCUUGUCAGCUACCAUUAAUCUAGAGCUCAUGAUCGAGCCUCAAGCGUCUGCUGCUUUCAGGAAAGAACUAAUACGGUGCACCACAUUUAGCAAGCUCAAAACUUUGUCACUAGAUGAUUGGUGUGUGGAGCCUGAUUACAGCCCACUAUUUUACUUUCUCCAGCGGUCACCAAGUCUCGAGAACCUCCACCUCCGACUAUCUAAGAAAUAUAAACAUGCCGAAGAAACAGACGGAAGCUACGCUCCAAUAGAACCAUUUUUGGCAUCGAAGAGUCCUAGGGCUUUCAAUAUCCAAUGCCUGCCCAAAGAUGAGCGUGUUCACAAAAUUGUGAAGGUCCUGAGUUCAUGUGGAGUAACUGCUGAGUUAAUCAUCAUCAACAAAAGAAUUUGGUCUUCCAACGGAUCAUAUUCAGAUUCAGAGCACUCAAAUUAUUCACAUCCAGAUUCAGAGCAGUCAAACUAUUCACAUUCAGAUUCAGAGCAAGAGCAAUUGGAUUAA
rnacentral:rRNA from 1 species